AUGCGGACGCCGGUGGCCUACAAGGCGCGGCGGCGGGCGUCGCGGGAGACGCUCGCGCGCGGCAUGAACUUCGCCGUCGGCGGCGCCGGCGUGCUCGACACCGGCAACUUCCAGCGCAACAUCAGCGCCCAGAUCGACCUCUUCCAGGCCAUGCACCACAGCCAGCAGCAGCGGGGCUGCGCCAAGCGGACGGCGCUCGUCGUCGUCUCCGGCAACGACUACGCCUACGCCGCCGACAAGGACAACAACGGCACCAGCGCGGCGAUCGCGUACAUCCCGACGGUGGUGCGGGAGCUCCGGGAGCAGCUGCGGCGGCUACGCGACGAGGCGGGGAUGCGGAGGGUGGUGGUGAUCAACCUGCACCCCAUGGGGUGCACGCCGGUAUUCACCCGCCCGCUCAACUACACCGGCUGCGACCCGCUGGCCAACGCCGGGGCCGCCCAGUACAACGCCGCGCUCCGGUCGGUCCUCGGCGCCCUCGACCCCAACAACCGCACCUUCCUCCUCCUCGACGUCCACACCCCCUUCGCCGCCUUCCUCCUCGACGACAACAAUGGUGACAGUGACAACAAGUUGUUCAAGAGCACGCUGCGGCCGUGCUGCGAGAGCUUCAGGCCCGACGGCUACUGCGGCCAGGAGGACGAGAACGGCACGUGGCAGUACACACUCUGCGACGACCCCGGCCGCUACUUCUACUGGGACGUCGUGCACCCGACGCAGGCCGCCUGGGCCGCCAUGGCGCGCACCUUCAGGGCCGCCGUCAAGAGCUUCCUCUCCAUCUGA
rnacentral:rRNA from 1 species